UACGAAGGGGGUUAGCGUUGCUCGGAAUUACUGGGCGUAAAGGGCGCUUAGGCGGACAGCUUAGUCAGAGGUGAAAGCCCAGGGCUCAACCUUGGAACUGCCUUUGAUACUGGCUGUCUUGAGUUCGGGAGAGGUGAGUGGAAUGCCGAGUGUAGAGGUGAAAUUCGUAGAUAUUCGGCGGAACACCAGUGGCGAAGGCGACUCACUGGCCCGAUACUGACGCUGAGGCGCGAAAGCGUGGGGAGCAAACAGG
rnacentral:rRNA from 1 species